GACGAACGCUGGCGGCGUGCUUAACACAUGCAAGUCGAACGCUGAAGCCCUUCGGGGUGGAUGAGUGGCGAACGGGUGAGUAACACGUGGGUAAUCUGCCCUGCACUCUGGGAUAAGCCUUGGAAACGGGGUCUAAUACCGGAUAGGACACAUCGCCGCAUGGUGUGUGUGUGGAAAGUUCCGGCGGUGCAGGUUGAGCCCGCGGCCUAUCAGCUUGUUGGUGGGGGGAUGGCCUACCAAGGCGACGACGGGUAGCCGGCCUGAGAGGGUGACCGGCCACACUGGGACUGAGAGACGGCCGAGACUCCUACGGGAGGCAGCAGUGGGGAAUCUUGCGAAAUGGGCGAGAGCCUGACGAAGCAACGCCGCGUGGGGGAUGACGGCCUUCGGGUUGUAAACCUCUUUCGACCGGGACGAAGGAUUCGUUUGACGGUACCGGUAGAAGAAGCACCGGCUAACUACGUGCCAGCAGCCGCGGUAA
rnacentral:rRNA from 1 species